CCGGUUGUGGCAGGUAGCACUGUCUUUCUUAGGUUUUAGAACUGAUGAUCUUGGAUUCUUGAGUUCUUCAGAAAUGUCUCCAAAGGACUUUCCCAGCGUGUGUCAAACUACACUUUCCCUCUCAGAUUGUCACCCUUUCCAGUCCUUUGUCAAACUACUUUAUCAACUACCAACUGCAGUCAAUCAUGAUCACUAACAAGAAGUUAAUUGGACUUUGCCCGUUCAAGUUCCAAUGCCAUCGGGAGCCACCAAGCACCACUUAUUAAAAUAUUUGUAUCCUGCUGACCAACAAGAGAGCAGAUUGCUUAGAGGAGAGCUGCGGUUAACAGGUGUGGCAGGCGCACCACACCGACUGCGCGUGGCACCUUGCUGAAGCUGAGUUGAUUAUCUGGACGAAAGCAGUGAGAGACCAGCUACAUGGGUACCAGUCUCCACCUGCCAACAGGCGGCCACAAGCCAUGAAGCCAGUUAGCAGCCACCUGGUCUGACAGCAGCUGUGCUUAGGUUCAGAACCAGUAGGACCCAACCUGGCAAUCAGAAGUCUGCCAGACAGGAAGCCAGCGGGGAGCCAGGAAUGCCAUAGGAUGACCUAACAGAAGGUGAGAGAGAAGGAGGAAGCAAAGUGUAGACGAGCUCCUGGCAGGCGCUCCCUCUUGUUGGCAGUGUAUUGGUUCAAGGUGAGGCUGAACUUUAGGCACAUUUAAAGCAACAGAAAUGAACAAUUUGUUUCAGGCCCCCCUACCCCCCGCCCAGUCAGAAUAUUAUGAUAUUAUGUUCUUUAAUGUUAAGAUUAAGUUGUUUAUCAGGUUUUUUGGAUGCACUGUAUUACAACUUUAUUAAGGUAAAAAUGAUCCCUUUUCCCUUGUAAAAACGACAUAGUCACGUGUUGUGCGGGAGCACAGGCUGGAAGCUUUAGUGUCAGACCACACGUAAUCUACCUUAAUCAAAUGGUAAUGGUGUUAUUUGGCUCAAAUAAUGGAUAAAUAAAUACACAGAAAACCAUUUACAAUAAAUAAAGAGAUGAAUGAAAUGAUUUAUUUCAA